rnacentral:rRNA from 1 species
UUGUUGGAGAGUUUGAUCCUGGCUCAGGACGAACGCUGGCGGCGUGCUUAACACAUGCAAGUCGAGCGGAAAGGCCCUUCGGGGUACUCG